CCAUCACCUGUGUCAAGGAUGCAUACAUCUUCAGCUGGUGCAGGUGAUUCGCUCUCUUCUCGUGAUGUAACAGGUUCAACUAGCUGCGCAGAAAGUCCUCCCCUCCCUCAAAUGCAGUCCUGUACAGAUCCACGAACUAAGGUGUCUGAGAUUGAUGUUAAUAUGGAGCCUGCUGUUACAGAAACUGGUCUAUCAAGGGACCAACCUGUCGAGGAGCCUCCUCAUGCAGCAACUGGGGUAAACGAUGGCUUUUGGCAGCAGUUCCUCACUGAGCAGCCUGGUUCUGAUGCACAUCAGGAGGCCCAAUCAGAAAGGCGAGAUGGAGAUGAUAAAGGCGAUCAGACGAGAAUAGGAGAUCGGGAAAAAUUUUGGUGGGGAAAGAAGAAUGUUGAACAGAUGACAGAAAAGCUGGGGCAUCUUACCUCGGUGGAGAAAACCUGACUGUUUGUAUUACUUGUAGUUGUAGGUGAAAAAACAGUUAGUACAGAAACACAUAG
rnacentral:lncRNA from 1 species